rnacentral:lncRNA from 1 species
GAUGUUCAUCGGCACAAAAAUGAAUGGACAUGAUGCUUAUCGACACAAAAAUGAAUGGACAUGUGCUCCUUAAAAAUUUAUCCGAUUAUUUAAAUAAUACGAAAACAAAAUUAUUCGAAUAGGAGGAUAUUUCAUGUGACAUUAUUAUGUUCACCCGUUUCUGCCGACGAAAUUAACAUCCUCUUCUUCGGUAUGUUCUUUUGUAUUACGUUUCAAAAUACUUUACAAAAAUAUAAAAGG